AGAGUUUGAUCAUGGCUCAGAUUGAACGCUGGCGGCAUGCUUUACACAUGCAAGUCGAACGGCAGCGCGGGGGCAACCCUGGCGGCGAGUGGCGAACGGGUGAGCAAUGUAUCGGAACGUAUCCUGUAAUGGGGGAUAACCAGUCGAAAGAUUGGGUAAUACCGCAUACGCACGAGAGUGGAAAGUAGGGGAUCGCAAGACCUUACGUUAUAGGAGCGGCCGAUAUCUGAUUAGCUAGUUGGUGGGGUAAAGGCCUACCAAGGCGACGAUCAGUAGCUGGUCUGAGAGGAUGAUCAGCCACACUGGGACUGAGACACGGCCCAGACUCCUACGGGAGGCAGCAGUGGGGAAUUUUGGACAAUGGGCGAAAGCCUGAUCCAGCCAUGCCGCGUGCGGGAAGAAGGCCUUCGGGUUGUAAACCGCUUUAGUCUAGGAAAAAGGGGUGCGAGGUUAAUACCCUCGUGCUUUGAUGGUACUGGAAGAAUAAGCACCGGCUAACUACGUG
rnacentral:rRNA from 1 species